rnacentral:rRNA from 1 species
UAUUGGACAAUGGGGGCAACCCUGAUCCAGCAAUGCCGCGUGUGUGAAGAAGGCCUGAGGGUUGUAAAGCACUUUUGUUAGGGAGGAUGGUGUUCUAUGUUAAGAGCUGAGAGCAUUGACGUUACCUAAAGAAUAAGCACCGGCUAACUCCGUGCCAGCAGCCGCGGUAAUACGGAGGGUGCAAGCGUUAAUCGGAAUUACUGGGCGUAAAGGGUGCGUAGGCGGUUGAGUAAGUUAUCUGUGAAAUCCCUGGGCUUAACCUAGGUGGGAAAGAUAAGACUGCUUGACUGGAGUGUGGUAGAGGAUAGUGGAAUUUCAGGUGUAGCGGUGAAAUGCGUAGAUAUCUGAAGGAACACCAGUGGCGAAGGCGGCUAUCUGGACCAACACUGACGCUGAGCACGAA